CCCCAGCGCCACAAGUGGUUAUCACGAUUAUUGGGCCUAAAGCGUUCGUAGCCGGUUUGGUAAAUCUCUUGUGAAAUUGUUCGGCUUAACCGGACAGCGUGCAGGAGAGACUGCCAGACUCGAGACCGGGAGGCGUAUGAAGUAUUCCAUGGGGACUGGUAAAAUGGGAUAAUCCAUGGAAGACUACCGAUGGCGAAGGCAUCAUACGAGAACGGAUCUGACGGUGAGGAACGAAAGCCAGGGGAGCGAACCGG
rnacentral:rRNA from 1 species